GAUAGUCGUAGCUCAUUGUCCGAGACGACUACAGGUACCACCAAAACUCAACCGCUGAAAAUGGCGCCCAGGACCGGAAGCGGGCGCACAUUACCCUCAGCUUUGCUUCCGGCGCCCAGCGCGAGAGGGCGGGCCGUUGAGUGUCACAAGCAGACAUUUCCGGUGACGUCACGAACGGCGCCAGAAAGUGUGACCUGCGGUGAAGUUUUUUGUCCGCGUUCUGGUCGGAAGCUUAGGUCCCCUGUGGGAUCCGGUCUUUGGGACGGCAUGGGUUUUCACCCAGCUUGAGAAAAUGUGGAAAUUUGAGUGAAUUUUAACUACUUUGUUAAAACCUAGAAUUUGUUUGCAAGGUCAUGGAUAGUAAGAACAUAGCAAACAAAAGAAUCGACCAUUGUGUACUCUCCUCAAAGACCAAAGAAGUUCGUAUUUCUUAGAAACCGCCUGGCACCUCUUUCACUCAAAUCAGUAUAUACACCGAAAUGUCUUCUUUAAAGAGGCUUUAAUACUGGGACUGGAGAGAUGGCUCAGCUGUUAAGAGCACUGACUGCUCUUCCUAGGGGUCCUGAGUGCAAUUCCUAGCAACCACAUAGUGACUCACAACCAUCCGUAAUCAAAUCCCAUACCUUCCUUUGGUGUUUGUGAAGACUGCUACAGUGCACUCAUAUACAUAAAAAAAAUCUUAAAAUUUAUCUAUCUAUCAUCUAUUUAUUUAUUUAUUAUGGGAACUUGGGUGUCAGCUCAGUUGAUAAGAGUACUUGCAUGGCAUGAUUUCAAUCCCAAACAGUAUAAAUGGUAUUGUUCUGCAGGCCUGUAAUCUCAGCAAACAGCAGAUGGAAGCAGAGGAAACAGAAUGUCAUCCUUAGCUGUAUAAUGAAUUUGAGGCCAGCAUAGGUUAUCUGUGUCUAAUCUGGAGGUUUCUCAGAAAAUUGGAAAUGGUUCUACCUGAAGACCCAGCUAUACCACUCUUGGGCAUAUACCCAAAAGAUGCAGAUACCACAAGGACACAUGCUCCAUUAUGUUCAUACCAGCCUUAUUUGUAAUUGUCAGAAGCUGGAAACAGCCCAGAUGUCCCUCAACUGAAGAAUGAAUACAGAAAAUGUUGUUCAUUUACUCAAUGGAAUACUAUUCAGCUAUUAAAAAUGAAGACAUCAUGAAUUUUGCAUGCAAAUGGAUGGAACUAGAAAAUAUCAUCCUGAGCAUCGAAAUAACCCAGACCCAAAUGGACAUGCAUGGCUUUGUUUAACAACUGGAUCUCUUCCUGGUAGCCAUCCCUGUCUUGAUGCUGCCGCCUGCUGUUCUGUCUGUGUGCCUCCACUGUGUCUGGGAUAGAGAUGUUGAUAUCUCCGUCAGGAUCACUUGUGGGGAACCUCGAAUGCUCACUUCAGGGAUCUACACUCCAGUGGGCCAAGAAUCUUGAAAUCUUGUGCUGUAAAGUUCGGUUUUGCUACCCAUGGAGGCAAGUAACUUCAUCAACUUUACAAGUAUUGGUCAAAGCAGAAAAGGAAUCAGGACACAAUUUGGUUCUAUUACUCUAUCAGAACAUUAUUUUAAUAGUGGUGGUUUUAGAAAAGGGGGAAAGGCCUUUAUCUACCUCUUCGGUAAACAUUUGGUAAGUGCCUACACUGUACAAGAAUCAAGCCACAUUAAGAGUGUAGGGACACACUCUUCAUUCAACGAUCUUUCAAGUAUUUAAGCUUAGGUGCAAAGAAAUGAAUAUUUCACUCUAAAUAUUGUUAUUGACUUAGUAACCAAGGUCUCUGGGGUCCAAGGAGUAACUACUUAUGCUAGGGAUAGUUUAUGUAGGAGUGGCAUGUCAGAUUAAUCUCCAAAGUUAAGGAAGAUUUAUAUCAUUAAAAGGCCUUCUUAUUCCUAAUGUAAAAUGCCAUGAGAUUCAGGCAGACUGGCUUUGCAUGUACACAUUGUUUUCUAGAUGAAGACAAAGAUACUGUGUUGUGUUACAUCAAAGCUAGGGUGCACCCACUCUGUGCAGUAACAUCAAUAUUAUUGCUAUCAUGCUUGGUAUCAAACAGAGUAAUCUGAGGGCAGGGGUGGGCUUGGAAAAUCAUGAGUUAAAAGGCCACCCUGAAAAUCUCCUUAUCUUGAGUAAAAAAGUUUUUUUGUUUUAAAACAAAGACAGAGAUUUCUGAUUUUUUUUACUACAAAGUCUACCUCAGCAUUAUCCAGUCAGAAAAUCUGAUUGUUGGGGCUGGGGAGAUGUCUCAGUCAAAGUUUUGUUGUGCAGGCAUGAUAAACUGACUUCUGACCCCCAGCAGUCAAGGGGAAAGCCUUUGUAGUCUCAUCCAUCUGUAACCUUAGCACUGGGCUCAUUGGAAUCUAACUAAAAUGGUGAGCUUAAGUGAAAGACCCUGUCUCAAGCCAACGAAGUUGGAGAGCAAUUGAGGAAGAUAUCUCAAAGCCAGUCUCUGUCUUCCAACACCCCUGCAUGGGUGAGCAUGCCCCAUGCACAACCACACAGAUAAAUGCUCACAUAUAGAGGUGCAUACACGAAAGAAAUUCUGAAUGUUGUCUCAUAAUGUAAGAUGACCUCCUUUUUUUCUGUUCCAAGAAAUUGCUCAUCUGAAAGCUGAAUUACCUUACAUUAUGAUUUGUUAUAAAAAAAAAAGGCCUACUUUAUUACUUCAAUAAAUCACUCCUCGGGGUAAUUCUUUGGCAUUUUAUAUUGUACAAACAAACUGCUUUGUAAUAUACAAGUUUAAAACAAAAAAGCCAUGAAAAAACUGAGUUAUCAAACAAAUUAAAAGGAUACAGACAUGCCUAUCUAAAGAAACAUUUAGCUGUGUCUCCAUGUGCAACAAGAGUACUGCUGAGAGCAGUUCAUAUCAAGAAGAUGAGAGGCCAGGACCUGGCAGGUAAAACCAUUAGCCAUGCAAGCCUGUGACCUGUGUUUGGUGCCUAGAACCCACAUAGUGGAAGGAGAAAGCACUCCUCCUAUAAGUCCUUCUCUGACCUCCACACACAAGCCAUGUCAUUAGCACAUGCCACCCAACUUCCAAAGUUAAUACAUAAAAAGUAAACAAUAAAGGGGACUGAAGAGAUGGUGCACAGCUAAGACCACUUGUUGCUUUCCAAGAAGACUCAGGUUUGACUUCAGGUUUUCACAGGGAGGCUCAAAAGUGCCUGUAACUGCAGUUCCAGGGGCUCUGACGGCCUUUUCUGGCCUCUAUAGGCAUAGGGCAUAUACAUGGUGUGUAUUCAUGCAUGCAAUAAAACACUUAUACACACAAAGUAAAAAUAAAUCUUUAAAAAUGUUUAAAAUGAAUGAGAUUGGAUGUCUUCAUGAUCUGAUUGACAGAUCCACAUAUUGAGUUAGAGGAUGAUAGCUCAUUCAGAUUAGCAUUUGAGAACUAGAUAUUACCAAAGUCUGGAUAAGUAUGAAGACUGAUUUUUCUGCAAUAGCAUUCAAAGUACUGGGUUAUUAAACUAACUUUCUGAACAUUCCUAUUCAAAUGGAUACUCUAUGUUUGAGAGCUAAGGAAACAAAAGCAGAGAUAAGAACAAACAAAAUCGGGAUGCGGUGCAUGCAAAGAACGUGGAUAAGGUUUCUGAAAAGAAGUUGAACAGGUGGCUAGGACAUACAUGGCAAGAUGCUCAGCUUUACUUAUGCAGGAACUCAUGCAAAUUAGAACUCAAACGCCGAGGUCCUACUAUGAAAAUACAGAGAACUACAUUACUGAGGACAAUGUAUAGCAACUUAGAACCUAUUGUUUGUGGGAAAGUAAAACGAUGCAGAUGUUGUAGAAAACAGAAUAAUGCUUCCAAAAAUAAAAAAACUAGAAUUAUUGUAUAUUAAGUAUAUCCAUAUAGCCAAGCAGUGAUCAUUUAAAUAUGACUAAGGUGGUAUAUUUUACAUGUUCUUUAUAGAUACUGUUUAAAAAUCAGGCUUACCUUGGCAACAUAACUUUCCUGCCUGUGCAUCCCUCUAACUAGGUUUAGAGAUAUAAAUAAGCCCCUGGAUUAUUUGUACAACUAUAUUUUAUUUGUAGAUCUUUAAGUAAAACCAUAAAAAUCUGUCAUCAUUUAUAGAAUUAUUUGUCCCCUUUAAGCAGGACUUGUAUAUUUAGGUUAGGGAGCACCAUUGCAGGCUAUAGAAAAUGGAAUCAUGAAUAAAAAGAACUAUGAUAUUGAAAGAUACAAGAGAGGAGCUGACAGACUCAGUAAAACAACCAGGAUUUUCUACUGUUAUUGAUAGAAUAGAGAACAUGGACUGAGUCAUUAUUAUGAGUGAAGGGUAGCAUUCCUGAUGAACAACAGCAGAGUAAAGAUGCCCUCAUGCGUUAAGAGCCCACAAACCACAGAGCUUUUCAACCUUCUAAACAACCCUAGUUGAAGGGGGCAGUUCUGAUGCUAAGGUUCUGUUCCCUAAUUGGUUCUUUUUUUUUUAAAGAUUUUAUUUAUUUACUUUAUGUAUGUGAGUACACUGUAGCUGUCUUCAGACACCAGAACAGGGCAUCAAUCCCAUUACAGAUGGUUGUGAGCCAACAUGUGGUUGCUGGGAUUUGAACUCAGGACCUCUGGAAGAGCAGUCAGUGCUCUUAACUGCUGAGCCAUCUCUCCAGCCCCCCUAAUUGCUUCUGGGCAGAAAGUAUGGGCAGGACUUCCUGGUCCCAGAAGGAAAAGGCAGACACAAGGGAGGAGAGAAGUUUUGCCAUACUUUGGAAGAAGAAUACAGCAACCACAUGAGGUCUGGCAUGUGAAAGGAACCAGGGGAGCUGGGGCCUGUGGCCAGUACUACAGGCUGGUAGCCAGGGAUGUUUGACAGGGUCUAGGUGGAAAUAAGCACUGAAGUUUUGGGAGGCUGGGAGAAGUGGAUAUAAAAAUAUUAUUAAGGGCAUGCUUUUCCAGGUGGGAAAUAGCAGCAUCCAACAAUUGUGGCAUAAGGCAAGUUGUGUAUGUGUGUGUGUUUGCCUUGUCCAUGGAUUCAAGGGAAGCCAGGUAGGGGAUAGUAGUGGCCCAGCCCGAAGCAAAGGUGGUAGAGUAAAACAACAUAGAACACUCAGUCCAUUGAAGAUGCAAUGCUAUGCUCAGGGCUGUCAUAGGAAAGUUAGCCUAGGUUCAAGCAAGAGAAAGAGAGACUCGAGAACCUUCCCAAAGCACGAUUCCAUCCUCAAAGAUGGUGGAAAUCCAUGGCAUUGAUGAUACCUAGCACUGCUCUAAAGUCCUAGCUGGGCCACAAUCCAGAAAGCAAGGAAUAAGAAACACAGGCACCAAGCAUGAAGAAACAAGGAUACACAACUGGUGGCUGCACAUGUCUUCUACCUAGAAAUUCUAGAGAAAAGGAAAAUCUGAGACAGAACUAAUGACAGACUCUAGGGGGGUGUUGGAUUGUAAGUAAAACUAAGAGUCCGGUGGCUGUUGCCAAUCAAAACAUGUUUUGAAAAGGCUCCAUUCAGAGUCUGGAGAAAUGGUUGAGUGUUUAAAGGCCAUUUGCUGUUCUAUAGAGGACCUAGGUUUGGUUCCCAACAUCGUAAUGUCUCACAACUCUAUAUAAUUCAAGUUCUAGGGAAUCAGAUCUAAUACCCUCUUCUGGCCUCCACAGGCAUUGGCAGACACACAAAGCAUACAUCAGGAAAAACUCUCAGACACAUACAUUUUUACAAACAAUCUUUAAAAUAAAGAGGAUCUGAUUCCAAACAACAGUACUGUUGUGAAACCUGCCAAGACAACACUGCAAUAAUAAAAAUCAAUAAUAAAAAUAAUAAUAAAAUAACAAAAGACAAGAGAGACAAUAUUAUAUUUUGAGAACAUGUAUUACAAAUCUGAUGAUAAUGACUUAAUAUAUAUCUAAAACGAAAAGCCAAAUGAAAUUCUCCUUUGUGUUGUGAAAAAAUGUAUAAACCGCGAAAAAGCAAGAAAAUAAAUGUGCAAACAUACUAGUGGUGACAUUCUAGCUAUUAAAGGACAGCCAAGAAACAAAGUAGAGUAUAUGAUAGAGAUGCUAUUUCAGAAUAAAUGGAGUAGCUGCACAUGGUGGCCAAGGCCUGUAGUCUCAGAACUUAGAAAGUAGAGGAAAGAAGAUCAUGAAUCUAGACCAGUCCUCCUCACAAACCAAGUCCCUGCUCAAAACAACUAUGGAAUAGCAAGGAGAAUAGCAGGAUGUGUUGUUUUUAUAUUAAAAAAUUAAAACAAAUAAAAAACAAAAUAGUAUUACUGUCCAGUAUAUGUUUCUGUAUUUUGAGAGGUAUUAGUUAAAAGUGCAUGAAAAGAUCUCUCAAUUUUUCUUUUUAUAAAACUAAAAUGUAUGGAACUUAGUUAGACACCAACUUUACUGCACAAUCAGAAUAAUCUAUUUAAAUAACCUGGAACUAUUCAUUUCAUACUCUGUGCUUUCUUACCAUUUUAAAGUGAGAGAAUUAGCAUUUGCCUGGGAGUAAUGAUAACCGUUACUGCAGUACACUCAGGAGUGUGGGUGGCUGGGAGAUUUUUUUUUUUUUUUGUAAUUUGGAAAUGAAAAGCAUUUCUGAACCUCACAAAUACUUCAGAAGAAGAGAGCCUGCCAUGUAAACACAUUAGCACAAAUAAUCUUCUGUGAUAAUUGAUUCAAACUUGCUGACCUUGGCUACACUGAAUGCCUUUUCUUUUUUCACAAUAAGCUGCUGGGUGAAUUCAGGGUGAAAUUAUAAUAUAAAAAGAGUCUCUCUACAUGAUUAUCUGAACAAGGUGAAGCUUUCUCUUGCUUGUCUGAAUUACUCAACUUAAGUAAGGCAAAUUACUGCAGGAAAGAUCAUCACUUUAUCCAAGGCCACAGUUGGUCAUAGGUUCUCUGAAUCAGAAGUUGGAAAGUAUCAUUGACUCAUGAAUAAUCCAAAUGAUGGGCAAAUUUAAUAUUUAAAAAAAUCUAAUUUUGAUUAUUUUAAGAGACUUUUGGCUUUUAAAGGUAUAUACAUUGAGGAUUGUAAGUCAAGCAGACUUAGAACAGUUUAGGGAAGCUGCAAUAGAUAUACCAGAAAGGAAACAAAAAACAGACACAAAAACUCAUGAGAAAAGUAAAUUAAAAAAAAAUUGCUCUGAGUAAACUCAGUAAUUAUUAAGGUUACAUAGGUCACAUUCCCAGCUCCUCAAAUCUUCUAUCCCACCAUGUCCUCUGUGUAUGAUUAGCAAACCAAAAUGUGAUGACUCACAAGAACUGAUCAAAGUAAGAAAAAGUGGGGAAGAAAUUAAAGACCUUUCAUAAAAGACUUUUCCAGACUGGAAAGAUGGCUCAGUGGUUAAUAGCACUGAUUGCUCUUCCAGAGGUCCUGAGUUCAAAUCCUUGCAACUACAUGGUGGCUCACAACCAUCUAUAACAAGACCUGAUGACCUCUUCUGGUAUGUCUGAAGAUAGCUACAGUGUACUUAUAAUUAAUAAAUGAAUGAAUGAAUGAAUGAAUAAUUUGUCUUUUUAAAGACUUUUCCAUGUAGAAGAUUUUUCCAUGUAAAGAUAUGUGGCAAAGACUACCCUCCCAGACCUCAGGCCUGUUGUGCCUAUGCCUGUUUUUCUUAUUUUAAUUUGGUGUGUGUGUGUGUGUGUGUGUGUGUGUGUGUGUGUGUGUGUGACAAUCAGGAGAUGGACCUUCCCCAAUUGCUUUUCUAUCUAUCUAUCUAUCUAUCUAUCUAUCUAUCUAUCUAUCUAUCUAUCUAUCUAUCUCUACCUAUUUUUGAGACAGGACUGAGACUUCCCUGUUUUGGCUGCCCACAGGAAUCAUAGCCUAGAGCACUGGGGAUUAUGAAUGCUACUUUUUGAGUAGCUUCUGGGUCUUCAUACUCAGGUUUCAGGCUUCCACUGAUCUGUCUCCAUAGCCCAUGCCUCUUUUCAUGGUGAAAAUCUAACGAUAAAGACUGGUGCUCACCAUGACAAAUACUUACUGACCACGCUGACCAUGAGCCACAUGCUAUAUAAUUGCUGGU